UAUAAUUGGCCGGUCUUCAGGCGGACUUGCCCGUGUGUGAUUUGUACAGCGCGUUGGCCAAUGGAGAGACGGCUCUCGGACUCGCGGGCUGGACGCGGCUCCCCUCACCGGGCCUUUGGCAGCGAAACAAACGUCGCAGGCUACUUUUUGACGCGCAAAACUCCUCAACCAAUCAGGGAGCAGCCUCGCUGGAGCACGUUCGAGAGUCCAAAUAUGCGUAACUUUCCAUCUUAAUAGCCCAUAUCCAACCUUACAGUUAACAUGUUUUAGGUGUCUGUCAUGUACUUAAAACUUCAUUAUAUGAGAAACGUGAUGUUUAUCUCAUGUGUUUAUGUGUUUCUAGCACGUGUCAGUGUUUUUAUUUGUGGUGAUCUUCCGGGAAUCUCGCUCACGGGCGCACUUGCAAAGUAGCAAAGGUGACGCCAAAGCGUUUACUCUUAAUCUCAGGAAUAAUGAUCAAUCCCGAGAGAAAAAAAAUCUAGCAGACUCAGCCCCUUAUUAUCCCCGAGACCCUGUAAAGACGGUACGGUGAAAGGGAGAAAAAGCAAACACUGAAUGCAGACGCUUUUGCGCGCUUCUCCUGCUGUCGCUCAGCCAGAGGAAUUUAAGGAGGUUUAAUUCCCUAAAAUAGUCCUCUCGUCAACAUGACCGUCACACUGCAAGUGCUCAUGUUGAUACACUGAAAUGUAACAACAGUUGACUGGAGAUGGACUGCUACUGGACUAGGGCCAUGUUGGAUAAGCCUGAAAGCAGUAGGCAGGGAUUCACUACAGAAGUACAGGUAGCACUUUUAAGUUUAAAAAAGAGCUGUAAGCAUCCGGGACAAUUUUUGGAAGGCAGACGACCAAGUUAGUCUUAAGAUGUGCUAAAACAGAAGAUCUGACUAAAACACAACCUCCAGGAUCAUCUACACACAGUGCCACGUGUUCCCAGUGUUGAACAACUUAAAAUGGAGUUAAACGAGAUGCUCCACGGUCUGAGAAAAUCUGUGAUGGAAGAUCGGAGGGUGAUGGAGCAAAAUGGAGAAAGAGAUCAUGCAAACUGGUUAAGCCUGGUGGAUGCUGUCUGUCAGGACUUAUGACAGUUGGAUGUUUCCAUUAUGUUCCCACCGUGUUCGUGCCAUGUUCGCAACGUUCCCAGCCUACAGUCCAGCACUUUCCCAGCCUCAGGCUGCCAGCCGUUCUUAGCGGUUGGGAAUCUCUGAGGGCUUGUCCGUCAACUGGAACCCUCCCCUCCAAUUAGGACUGUAAACACAAGGCAAUCUGUGCUGUGUGUGUGUGUGUGUGUGUGUGUGUGUGUGUGUGUGUGUGUGUGUGUGUGUGUGUGUGUGUGUGUGUGUGUGUGUGUGUGUUUGUAAGGAGGCGUCAAACUGGCUCCUGAAGCUUGGUGAGCUGUCCAGCUAUGAUAAAAACGACACCCAGGUUCUCAUCAGUGUGAUCUCUCCAUCUCUUUCUCUUCUCUGGAGGGGAAUGGGCCAAGAUAAGCAGACAGUGUGGAGUCUAUACAAAUACACAAACACACACACAUACACACAAAGUAUUGUUUGCCAACAGGGAGUCAGAGAUUGUAGAGUAUUCACAGGUUAUUGACAAAGGAGUGAUGAGAAUGUUUAAACAUAUAAUCUUAUUUACCUUAGUUAAUUCUGUGAAAUGUCAGUGUCUUUUACUCUAAUAAAACAUUA